rnacentral:tRNA from 1 species
GGCUUGUGGCUCAGAGGUUGAGUGCUUGCCUAGCAUGUGCAAGGCCCUGGGUUCUAUCCUCAGCACCA